rnacentral:lncRNA from 1 species
GAAUUAUGUGGCUCCUUCAUGUACUUUUUGAUUGAACAGUGAUAACUCAGAUAAUACAUUAUCCCGUGCCCCUCUCUGAGAGGAACCUGCCUUUUUUUUUUUUUUUUUUUCUUUUUUUUUUUUUUUUUUUUUUUUUUAACAGAGCAGUGAAAGAAGACUUCAUAGAGGCAUUUAAAGUGACAUCACCAUGCCAAUCCCAACUUACUACAACCGGCGAGAAGCAACUGCUAGACCAGAUUAAAUACGACGAAGAAAACACCUCAGACUCAUUCUUCUGUGCAAGGAGCCCGACUUGCAGAGUCCAAAGGAAUGCUGGUAAGCAUUUUCCUCACCAGGAGGAUGUUAGCACCAGAACAUUUACUCAGUGAUCCCUUUCAAUCUGCAAAAUAUAUAGCCAAUUGUCCUGGAGGAGCUCUUUUGUUUUCAAAGGGUGAAAUGGUUUUAAGCUAGGACAUUUUGUUAAUUCUGUUUCAUUGGGAGCUCAGACUCAAUGUGUCCCUUUUAUCUCAAAGGCUCCCAAAGUCCUCAAAAAGUUAUGUGCCAGGCGAUAACUUGUCAUCUGAAGACCGGCCCCCUCUGAAGUGCGGGUCUGAAUUGAGUCUCAAAUCUAAUAUUGAUUGUAACUCAAAAGCACCAUGGGAUUGGUUAGAGUCACUGCACAACCAACAAAGAAAGCCUUAGUUUCCAACUUUUUGUACACGGGAUUAGGUCUAUCAGCACUUGCA